UGCCCGGCUCCGGGCCACUCCUGCAGGCCCUGCCUAGGGCAGCCGGCGGUGCCUGGAGGCGGGCUCGCCCCGGCUGCUCCACGCCCAGGCCGGUCCCUGGCAUUUCAGCCAGUGGGAGGGCGUCCCCGCCGCCCCCGUGCCUCUCCGCAGGGGCUGCGCCGCGUCCCCGGGCCUCUCCCUCCGCCGUGGCCUGGUCUGCCUGCUCCAGGGCGCAGCUGCGCCCGCUUCAGCGCCUCCCGGGUCUGCGUGGCCUGCUCGGCUCAGAGGCCUCCACCACGGUCCGCUCCCUGCCGGACGCCGCGCUGCUGUGGCCGCGGUGGUUCUGUGGCUGUGAGGGCCGUUUCUGUCCGUCCACACCGCCUUCCCUCUGCAGAUUUCCUCUGCAGAGGCCCGGAGUUACCAGCAAGGUCUGACGCAGCAGAGUGCAGAAACGGCCUCCCUGUCUGUCAAAGUGGCCUCCCGAGGACACCCAGCGAGGCCACCAGAUCAUCACGUGGAGUAUCGGUGGCCUUAUUAAAACAAAAACAACAACUCCACAGCCCGGCGAGCGAAAUUAUUGCAACACCCUGCAGCGUUCAGACUUGUCAUGGAUGACUCUAACAGGGCAGGUGUUACCACGUCAACUGGUCCAAAAAACAAAAUACCGGGUGCACAUCCCUUGAAGUUUCGGGUGUGUUUACUCUGAGGCACCGUGCACUGCAAAGCUGGGGAUUCACAGGCAAGUUUAGGUGAAUCCUCGGAACACGUGACUGAUGAAUUCCGGGCCCGUGUCGGGCUCUCAGCCAGCGCCUGCUCCGUGCGCCAGGGACGGAGUGCUGCCUUCUCGGGAGUCACACGGGACUGGCUUAGCCCUGGCGAGUGUUUCGCAUCAGGUGACAAGUUGUGCCGAGUGUCUGCCACCCUGCAUGCCCACACUGAAUCCGUG
rnacentral:lncRNA from 1 species